rnacentral:lncRNA from 1 species
AGUUGGCAGGAUGGCAGCAGCAGACACACAGGGUGGUUAAGAACAACAAACACAGGCAAACCACUUCAAUAGAACAUGGCUGGCGGCCAUAUGGACAUAUUUGAAUCCAACAAUUAAUUCAGCAAAGAAAGCUGCUUGUGGCAAGUUUUGAAUGUGCCAUUCCAGGUAGUGCUUUGAUGAUAAAUGAGGAGAAGAUUGCAAAGAAAAUGACAGCAACAUUUAUAAAAGGGUCUCAUGAAUAUAACACGAUGCCCAGCACAUAGAAAGCAUACAAUAAGUGUUUGUUGGAUAACUGUGGACAGUUCAGUCGACCAGCAAAUUCCUCUUAGGACUCUAGAUGCACGGAGAGUGGCCAGAUUAAUACAGACUGGCAAAAGAAGAACUUGGCAAAGUGAUUUGAUCACACACUUCUCACCCUCACAUCUCCUGACAGUUCCCCUAAUCCCUGCCCCACUUCCCCGCCAUGGGCUUCCAUCAGGAAACUCCUUGAUAUCAUCUUCGAGAAGAAAACUGAGGCAUAGAACAUUUGGGAAUGAAUCUAAGACUACACAUCUAGAAUAGCAGAGUUACAGGAAUGCAGAUGUGAUUCCUAUGGAUGAGGGUAACCUAGAGGCUAGAAGAACAAUAGGACAGAAGAAGCCUGGGUCCCUGAACAACCUUGUGGAGCAUAGACACCUACGUGGCCUGGACUGCCAGCUCACAAUGGGCCUCUCUGUGAGAGAAGGAAACUUCCCUCUUGUUUAAGCAACUGUGCUUUUGAGAAUCUCUUGGUCUAUACCCUAAUGAAUAAGGCCAUCAUAAAUGGAUAUCAAAGUAAGGAAA